AAGGUCAGGUUCCUCUCCAUAUCAUAUCACAUGAACCAAUGAAUGACUCUUCACAAAACACAACCAAAGCAGCUCCUACUAGUACUGCACCUCACAAUCUAAAAGCAUUGUGGUUAAGCAACCCCCACGGCAAGUACAUGUGGCAAUUUGACCUCAGCUUUGGAUUUUGUUUUGUUGGUAUAGUCAAUCCUGCAAUUACUCUGAAAAAUGCCACCAUAAUAUUUUGAAGAUGCUCUUGUCCAUUAAAGACAUAUCAUUUGGGAUUAAUAUUUGAGUUUUUUGCAUUAUGAUUAAGGUCGGUAAGAGGGUUAGUAAGUGGAGAUGGGGCCUUUGAUAUAUAUAAAUAAAUAUUUCUAUACAUGUAUGGCCAUGAUAAUGAUUGCAGAAUGAUGCCCAACAGUAAGACAACAAACUAUUAUAUAUGCGUUCAUAUGGAGAUGAAGAUGGGGAUUUGUUUAAGCAUAGCCUAAUCAUUAUUAGCUGCAAAAUUGAAAAAGAGGAAUGGGUUUUAAUUCAUUGAGAAUGUCUUUUAAGCUCAAAUUGGUAUUAUAUGUGGUGUGGUGGUUGGUUAGAUGUCACAUUAAUGGGCCUUGAAGCUUUGCCAAGGACAAAGACAAACUCCUAAAUGAUUUAAAUAAUAUAUGUUGUUGGUGCUGUUAAUUAUGGAUUAUCUAUGAGAAAAGCAUUAACAAACAA